CAAAAACAUCGCCUCUUGCCUCAAACAUAAGAGGUCCAGCCUGCCCAGUGACUAUUGUUCAACGGCCGCGGUAUCCUAACCGUGCGAAGGUAGCGUAAUCACUUGUUCUUUAAAUGAGGACUAGUAUGAAUGGCAUCACGAGGGUUAUACUGUCUCCUCUCUCUAAUCAGUGAAACUAAUCUCCCCGUGAAGAAGCGGGGAUAAAAUUAUAAGACGAGAAGACCCUAUGGAGCUUUAAGUAAAUCUUCAAACGCUUGUACACCCUAACAGUCAUAGACCCUUAAAAUUAACUUUAGCGCCAUGAAGAUGAACUUUAGGUUGGGGUGACCACGGAGUACAAAAAAACCUCUACGCUGAACAAGUCUCAAAGCCUUGAGUAAAGGACCACAACCCUACACACUAAUAAACUAACACCCAUUGACCCAAUAAUCCUUUGAUCAACGAACCAAGUUACCCUAGGGAUAACAGCGCAAUCUACUUCAAGAGUUCCUAUCGACAAGUAGGUUUACGACCUCGAUGUUGGAUCAGGGUAUCCCAGUGGUGCAGCCGCUACUAACGGUUCGUUUGUUCAACGAUUAAAACCCU
rnacentral:rRNA from 1 species